AUUGAACGCUGGCGGCAUGCCUUACACAUGCAAGUCGAACGGUAACAGGUCUUCGGAUGCUGACGAGUGGCGAACGGGUGAGUAAUACAUCGGAACGUGCCCAGACGUGGGGGAUAACGAGGCGAAAGCUUUGCUAAUACCGCAUACGAUCUAAGGAUGAAAGCAGGGGACCGCAAGGCCUUGUGCGUUUGGAGCGGCCGAUGGCAGAUUAGGUAGUUGGUGGGAUAAAAGCUUACCAAGCCGACGAUCUGUAGCUGGUCUGAGAGGACGACCAGCCACACUGGGACUGAGACACGGCCCAGACUCCUACGGGAGGCAGCAGUGGGGAAUUUUGGACAAUGGACGAAAGCCUGAUCCAGCAAUGCCGCGUGCAGGAUGAAGGCCUUCGGGUUGUAAACUGCUUUUGUACGGAACGAAAAGGCUCUGGCUAAUACCUGGGGCACAUGACGGUACCGUAAGAAUAAGCACCGGCUAACUACGUG
rnacentral:rRNA from 1 species